AUGGCGCUACGUGCGGCUGUGACGGGUCUCCUGCAGCCGGCCGCUGUCCCUGUAUGUGACGGCUUCAUCUGCCUUGUCCCCAUGCUGUCCGCCGGAUUUGCAGAGGACCUUUACCUGGCCAGUCGUUUUGGGGGGUCCAAGGCAACACGCGAGUUUGAAAUCCCACGCCCGUUUGCCCUUGGGGACGUCCUGCGCGAAACCGGCAAGGGUGCUGGGUUCCUCACUGUUGAUGAGAUUGGCAUGAUGUUGCCUAAGCUGCGCCUGCGCCCUGAGGAUUCUUAUUACAUAUUUGGUGCAAGUGCUGCUGCUGCCGGAAUGCUACUCUUGUCUGCCGAAGAACCAAUUGAGCCUAAUGAUGGGCAGACAUCUGAGAUCAUACAUGAUCUUAAGGAAAAGUUGAGUGAAGUUACCGAGAGAGCGGAGAACCUCGCUGCUGAGAACAAGAGGCUCCUUGAAGAUGUGGACAAGGUCAGGGAAGCUAACAAGCAACAUGGAUAUGAGAGCUGGAUCGAGGCCCUUCGAUCCAUUCAUGAAGAGGAACUUGCUAAGCUUGAAGCUCGCAGUGACAAGGAGGGUGAUGGGAGUGGCAAUGACAACAAGGACAAUAGGAGUGGCAAGAAGGGGAAUGAGAGUGACAAGAAGGAUAAAAAGCCGCUCGCAAAGAAGCUGUUAGAUCUUUUGAUGGCACCAUCCACUGCGGAAAGUUUGUACCAGGAUAUCACCACCAACUGGACCAAGUGGGGAUACCUUUUUGGUAUGGUCCCAGUGUUCUAUGGUUUUAAAAAGGCAGAUUUUGCAAAGAUUUUCAAGGGUGACUUUAGCGGUAUAGAUCCUCGGGUUGAGGUGGUGGAGAGCAGGGCUUGCCCAUGUGGCAUUCCCUGGCCGCAGAAAUGCUCAAGAUGUGGCAGAGGACUCCCUAACUUCGUUGGUGAUUCGGGUCUCGUCAGCUUCCCUGGUAUUGCAGGCGUCAAGGGCGAAACCUUCACAGCCGUCACUCCCACUCCCGUCCCAAGGGCGACAUCGCCUCAAGCCACCGCAGCCGUGAAGUGA
rnacentral:rRNA from 1 species